ACUGAGCAACUCAAUUCAAUCGACUGCCAUGUCGUUAAAAUGAGCAACCUAAAUUCAAUCGACCGUCAUGUCGUUAAAAUGAGCAAUCUAAGUUCAAUCGACCGCUAUGUCGUUAAACUGAGCAAAUUAAAUUUAAUCGUCCGCCACGUCUAUAAACUGAGCAACUUAAAUUUCAAUUCGACCGCCAUGUCAAUAAAUUGAGCAGCCCAAAUCUAAUCGACCGUCAUGUCGUUAAACUGAGCAAAUCAAAUCUAAUCGACCGUCAUGUCGUUAAACUGAGCAAAUCAUUUCAAUCGACCGCUAUGUCGUUAAACUGAGCAAAUCAAAUCUAAUCGACCGCCAUGUCGUUAAACUGAGCAAAUCAAAUUCAAUCGACCGCCAUGUCGUUAAACUGAGCAAAUCAAUUCAAUCGACUGCUAUGUCGUUAAACUGAGCAAAUCAAUUAAAUCGACCGCUAUGUCGUUAAACUGAGCAACCUAAAUCUAAUCGACAGCCAUGUCGUUAAACUGAGCAAUUUAAAUCCAAUCGACUGCCACGUCGUUAAACUGAGCAACCUAAUUUAAUCGACCGUCAUGUCGUUAAACUAAAUACUUUCUCUGUUAAUGUAUACCGG
rnacentral:lncRNA from 1 species